rnacentral:rRNA from 1 species
GACAGAGGGUGCAAACGUUGUUCGGAAUUACUGGGCGUAAAGCGCGUGUAGGCGGCAGGGCAUGUCGGAUGUGAAAUCCCGUGGCUCAACCACGGAAGUGCACCCGAAACUGCCCAACUUGAGUCUCGGAGAGGAAGGCGGAAUGCUUGGUGUAGAGGUGAAAUUCGUAGAUAUCAAGCGGAACACCGGUGGCGAAGGCGGCCUUCUGGACGAUGACUGACGCUGAGACGCGAAAGCGUGGGGAGCAAACAGG